GGAAGCUCUCUUUCCUUCCUGAACGCAACACAAACGGUUUUACCGGCGUUGUUAUCUCCGGUUUUCUAAGAUGCAGAUACAUGAGAGUUUCCCAAAAUCUCUGGUUUCUUUGAAUGCAAUGAGGCACAAGGAGGCUACCUGUUUCCAUUGAUGAUCUCCUUCCUCCUGAUCAGAGACAAGCUGUGAGCUCAGUCAGGCCUGGAGGAGAGUCUCUGUUAACCAGCUGGGUUAUGUUCCUGUGUGAAAGCUCAUUUAGCCCAGUAGGCCCACCAUGUGUUAAACUCCUUCAGCUCCGCUCUGCGUCUCUCUGAAGACUCUGGACUUAAUUCUGUUCACUCCCACGUGCACAGUCUCUGUUCCCAUUAUCAUCAACUUAACUGGCACGUUAAUGACUCCAAACAAACUGCUCUGCAGAGAGGAUGAUCAAUAAGAGUUAUUGAUCUGGAUGAGGAAGUGCUCAGCUCAAGCAUGUCCCUGGAUUUACAAUCUGUUUUCUUGUUUUCAUUAGAUCCUGUGUAAUUUGACUUGUCGUGUUCACAUUAGAGCAGCUUGUCCUGCUGUUUAAAGCCUAAACUGUGACGUUACAAUGACAACAAAGGACAGUUUAUCCAGCUUUACGAUAAACUCAAAUAACUCCAGAUAGAAAACUUGGAUUUAUCUGGUAAAAUAUGACAUUGCUAUAAAUUCUCUUUUAUUCCUAUAUUGAAAAAUAUGUCUAAUUGUUGUGUCUUUUAAUUGAAAGGGUUCAUUUAUUUUAAAAGAAACUGUUGAAGGAAAUAGAAAUUAAAACAAAACAGAGUGGUCAUUUUGGAUUACAAGAUUAGCGAACAUGUGCUGUUUAGGAUAUAUUUUGAAAUUUUCCACAUUAAAAAAAACACUUAGGAGAAUUUUGAAAUACAAUAAUACCUCCUUACUCUUAUCACCAGACUGAAGUGAUGUUGAAAAACUUCACAUUUUAUACUCUGGUCAAAUGAAAACUGUAAAUUAGAGAUUAAACAGCCUCCUAACAGUAACACAGUAACACUGAUGUUAAUGAAUUAGUUCUAAAGAUUCCAAACUAAACUUGAUGCAACACAAAUGACUCACAACAAUGCUACCUGUGUUUUAAUAGACUUGGUUAAUGACACUAAAACUAGUCCAAUGAGAACUUUAAAGACCCCC
ensembl:lncRNA